rnacentral:rRNA from 1 species
AUUGAACGCUGGCGGCAGGCCUAAGACAUGCAAGUCGAGCGAGAAAGCCCUUCGGGGUGAGUACAGCGGCGGACGGGUGAGUAACGCGUAGGAAUCUACCCAGUAGUGGGGGACAACUAGUGGAAACGCUAGCUAAUACCGCAUACGCCCUAAGGGGGAAAGCGGGGGAUCUUCGGACCUCGUGCUAUUGGAUGAGCCUGCGUAAGAUUAGCUUGUUGGUGAGGUAAUGGCUCACCAAGGCGACGAUCUUUAGCUGGUCUGAGAGGAUGAUCAGCCACACCGGGACUGAGACACGGCCCGGACUCCUACGGGAGGCAGCAGUCGGGAAUAUUGCGCAAUGGGGGAAACCCUGACGCAGCCAUGCCGCGUGUGUGAAGAAGGCCCUAGGGUUGUAAAGCACUUUCAAUUGGGAGGAAAAGCUAAUGGCUAAUAGCCAUUAGCCCUGACGUUACCUUUAGAAGAAGCACCGGCUAACUCCGUGCCAGCAGCCGCGGUAAUACGGAGGGUGCAAGCGUUAAUCGGAAUUACUGGGCGUAAAGCGCGCGUAGGCGGCUCUUUAAGUCGGAUGUGAAAGCCCCGGGCUCAACCUGGGAACUGCAUCCGAUACUGGAGGGCUAGAGUGUAGGAGAGGGAGGUAGAAUUCCAUGUGUAGCAGUGAAAUGCGUAGAUAUAUGGAGGAAUACCAGUGGCGAAGGCGGCCUCCUGGCUUAACACUGACGCUGAGGUGCGAAAGCGUGGGGAGCAAACGGGAUUAGAUACCCCGGUAGUCCACGCCGUAAACGAUGUCUACUAGCUGUAGGGGUACUUGAGACCUUUGUAGCGCAGCUAACGCACUAAGUAGACCGCCUGGGGAGUACGGCCGCAAGGUUAAAACUCAAAUGAAUUGACGGGGGCCCGCACAAGCAGUGGAGCAUGUGGUUUAAUUCGAUGCAACGCGAAGAACCUUACCAGGCCUUGACAUCCCCGGAACUUUCUAGAGAUAGAUUGGUGCCUUCGGGAACCGGGUGACAGGUGCUGCAUGGCUGUCGUCAGCUCGUGUCGUGAGAUGUUGGGUUAAGUCCCGUAACGAGCGCAACCCUUGUCCUUAGUUGCCAGCACAUAAUGGUGGGAACUCUAAGGAGACUGCCGGUGACAAACCGGAGGAAGGUGGGGACGACGUCAAGUCAUCAUGGCCCUUACGGCCUGGGCUACACACGUGCUACAAUGGCUAGGACAGACGGCUGCAAACCAGCGAUGGGGAGCUAAUCCGACAAACCUAGUCGUAGUCCGGAUUGGAGUCUGCAACUCGACUCCAUGAAGUCGGAAUUGCUAGUAAUCGCGAAUCAGAAUGUCGCGGUGAAUACGUUCCCGGGCCUUGUACACACCGCCCGUCACACCAUGGGAGUGGGUUGCUCCAGAAGUGGUUAGUCUAACCUUCGGGAGGACGAUCACCACGGAGUGAUUCAUGACUGGGGUGAAGUCGUAACAAGGUAGCCCUAGGGGAACCUGGGGCUGGAUCACCUCCUUA